rnacentral:rRNA from 1 species
UGGGAUACCACUUGGAAACAGGUGCUAAUACCGGAUAACAACAAUAGCUGCAUGGCUAUUGCUUAAAAGGCGGCGAAAGCUGUCGCUAAAGGAUGGACCCGCGGUGCAUUAGCUAGUUGGUAAGGUAAUGGCUUACCAAGGCGACGAUGCAUAGCCGAGUUGAGAGACUGAUCGGCCACAUUGGGACUGAGACACGGCCCAAACUCCUACGGGAGGCAGCAGUAGGGAAUCUUCCACAAUGGGCGAAAGCCUGAUGGAGCAACGCCGCGUGAGUGAAGAAGGUUUUCGGAUCGUAAAGCUCUGUUGUUGGUGAAGAAGGAUAGAGGUAGUAACUGGCCCCUAUUUGACGGUAAUCAACCAGAAAGUCACGGCUAACUACGUGCCAGCAGCCGCGGUAAUACGUAGGUGGCAAGCGUUGUCCGGAUUUAUUGGGCGUAAAGCGAGCGCAGGCGGAAAGAUAAGUCUGAUGUGAAAGCCCCCGGCUUAACCGAGGAAUUGCAUCGGAAACUGUGUUUCUUGAGUGCAGAAGAGGAGAGUGGAACUCCAUGUGUAGCGGUGGAAUGCGUAGAUAUAUGGAAGAACACCAGUGGCGAAGGCGGCUCUCUGGUCUGUAACUGACGCUGAGGCUCGAAAGCAUGGGUAGCGAACAGGAUUAGAUACCCUGGUAGUCCAUGCCGUAAACGAUGAG